CCAAUAGCGUAUAUUAAAGUUGUUGCAGUUAAAAAGCUCGUAGUUGAAUUUCGGGAGCCGCGUGUCGGUUGGGCUUAAUUGUCCAUCACUGGCGUCGCGGGUCUCUUACCUUCUGGCGAGGUCAGAUGUCAUUUAUUUGGUGUCUGGCGGAACCAGGACUAUUACCUUGAAAAAAUUAGAGUGUUUAAAGCAGGCUUUAU
rnacentral:rRNA from 1 species